AGCCGCCACCGUCUUUAAUGUUUGUCGGCGCAGGUCUCUGUCAGCGACGUUCAACGCGAAUUUCAUUCAUUUCGUUGUGAUUUUUCAUUAAAAUUUUAUAAAAAUUCAUAAUAAAUCUUUAAAAUUCUUAAGUCUAAACAAUAAAUAAAUUAAAUUUAAUAUCCAAAUAUGUAAAUAAAACAUUUAAAACAAAUUUUUAGAAGUGCGAAACUAAAAUAAACAUAAUAUAAAAUAUUGCACAUCAGCAACAAGAUCACACAAUUUUUUUGUCAUAAUUUUUUCUACGGUGGAGAAAUAAAAAAGAAGGUUGAACAAAAGUUAAAGCUGAGUUAGUUCACAAAGAAAUUUAUAUAAAAAAGCAAUUUUUUGUAAAAAAGAAAUGUAUUAAAAUGUGAUAAAUAGAAUUUUGCUAUAAAAAUUAAAAAUAAAUGUUUGAAAAAAAGCCUUUUAAAGUGUGCGAAGUAUAAAAAAGAAUGUAACAAAAUGUUACGGACUUUGGAGUGUAAGAGGAAUGUGUAAUGAAGAAGAAAAAAAAUAUUAAUAUAAAAAGUAAAAUAAAUACAACAAAACAAAAAGUGUUCAACAGUCAGUCAUUUUAAAAUUAAUUUUUGUUCACUUCCAAUGUUCUUUUUUAUUAUUUUGGUUAAGUAGUGUAUGUUGUUGUUUUUGUGGUUUUUCUAUAACAAAAAAGACAAGUUGUUGCUUCUUUAGGCCGCACUUUGUUGCUGGCAAAAAAACAGAAGAAAAAAAUAAUCAUAAUAAAGCAGCAACAGCGGCGCCUGCCACCACCACCAACACCAUUUACUUACUCUAUCACUCCCUACUACCACUAAUCAACCAACCAACCGCUACUGUGUUUAACCUCCAGGUGCAUUCAUACAAACAUAUAAAACACACAAAAAAUUAAACAAAAGGAAAAUAUAUAUUUAAAAAAUUCUAAUUUAUUAAAAAAAGUAUUAAAGUGUUGUGAAAGACAUUUUUUGUUGUUUUCUUUUUGUGCUUAAAAUUCGCAAAAAAUAUUUUGCUGACUGCAGAAAUUGUGGAUAAUUCUCAUUCGCUUUUAAACGGAAUACACAUUUUUCUUCAGCUGAUAAUAUUUCUAAACGAAACUGUGCAGCAACAACAAAAAGGGACUUGUUGGCACAACUCCGUCUGUGUGAAAAGCCACAUUGAAAUGUUUAUGUUUAUGCUUUGAAUUACUGUUACUGAUAUCAAUAUAAAGAAAGAUAAAUCGUCAUACAGACGAGCGGACAUGCAGAAAUAUCAAGUUAAAACUAAAACCAACAAUAAGUUUUGAAAGACAUCGUCCAUUCGAGCAACCAGCACUCACCUGGAAACCCCAAACCAAAUAACGAUACG